CACAUAGGGGGCAAGCGUUGUUCGGAAUUAUUGGGCGUAAAGGGCAUGUAGGCGGUUUCGUAAGCCUGGUGUGAAAUCCUGCAGCUUAACUGUAGAAUUGCAUUGGGUACUGCGAGACUUGAAUCACAGAGGGGAAACUAGAAUUCCAGGUGUAGGGGUGGAAUCUGUAGAUAUCUGGAAGAAUACCGGUGGCGAAGGCGGGUUUCUAGCUGAUGAUUGACGCUGAGGUGCGAAAGUGCGGGGAGCAAACAGGAUUAGAUACCCUGGUAGUCCGCACCGUAAACGAUGUACACUAGGUGUAGGGGCAUGAGUCUCUGUGCCAAAGCUAACGUGAUAAGUGUACCGCCUGGGAAGUAUGCCCGCAAGGGUGAA
rnacentral:rRNA from 1 species